rnacentral:rRNA from 1 species
GACGGAGGAUGCAAGCGUUAUCCGGAAUUAUUGGGCGUAAAGCGUCCGCAGGUGGCCUAUCAAGUCUGCUGUCAAAGACCGGGGCUUAACCCCAGAAAGGCAGUGGAAACUGAAAGGCUAGAGGAUGGUAGGGGCAGAGGGAAUUCCCAGUGUAGCGGUGAAAUGCGUAGAGAUUGGGAAGAACACCGGUGGCGAAAGCGCUCUGCUGGGCCAUAACUGACACUCAGGGACGAAAGCUAGGGGAGCAAAUGGG